rnacentral:rRNA from 1 species
GACGAACGCUGGCGGCGUGCUUAACACAUGCAAGUCGAACGAAGAGCGAUGGAAGCUUGCUUCUAUCAAUCUUAGUGGCGCACGGGUGAGUAACGCGUAAUCAACCUGCCCUUCAGAGGGGGACAACAGUUGGAAACGACUGCUAAUACCGCAUACGAUCUAACCUCGGCAUCGAGGAUAGAUGAAAGGUGGCCUCUACAUGUAAGCUAUCACUGAAGGAGGGGAUUGCGUCUGAUUAGCUAGUUGGAGGGGUAACGUCCCACCAAGGCGAUGAUCAGUAGCCGGUCUGAGAGGAUGAACGGCCACAUUGGGACUGAGACACGGCCCAGACUCCUACGGGAGGCAGCAGUGGGGAAUCUUCCGCAAUGGACGAAAGUCUGACGGAGCAACGCCGCGUGAGUGAUGACGGCCUUCGGGUUGUAAAGCUCUGUUAAUCGGGACGAAAGGCCUUCUUGCGAAUAGUGAGAAGGAUUGACGGUACCGGAAUAGAAAGCCACGGCUAACUACGUG